UGAAUUUAUUAUUUUUCCCUCUGUUUUUCAACAAUUAUAUAAACUUACCUAGACAGGCAUAGUUUUGUUGUCGACGAUUACGCAAAUAGAUGACGAAAAGAAAUGUGAUAAGAGAUACAAAAAUUCAGCAGGCCUACCAACUAAGUUACAUGGGUGAACUAAAGUGUGUGACAUAAUUUAUUUGACAAAAAGAUAAUUUACCAGCAAUCAGUAAACUAAACAGCACAAGUGUUUGAGUUCAGUGAAUUUGAAUUGUUUUGAAAGAUUUGACAAUGGGGAAGCACAAUCCUGUAAAUACAGUUGAGAAAUGUGAUGAAUGGUUGUGUACUAGAACCAAGAAAAAGAUGAUCACUCCACCAGUUACAGGAAAAAGAGCUUGUCUGUCUAGGCCAUUAAGAAGUAUUGGUAAUCUUAUAAAAAGUUCUCCUUCACCUGAAGAAUUAAAAACACACACGAAACAAAGUAAACUGGUCAAAUUCUUUGGGAAAAAAAAACCAGGUAAGUAAACACACAGUGUUUAAACUUGGACAAUUAUAAACAUUGAUACACAUAUAUGAUGAG